UUUCUCCUUCUAGCUUAAUCCACAUAACUGAUACUUCGUAUCGACUUUGUGCGCAUUUUGCUAUUAUGUGUUCUUUUAAUUAAAAUGAUUCUUUUUAAGGACUUUCUUUGCUUCGGCUUGGAAGUAAAAAGA
rnacentral:rRNA from 1 species